rnacentral:rRNA from 1 species
GUGGGGAAUAUUGGGCAAUGGGCGAAAGCCUGACCCAGCAACGCCGCGUGAAGGAAGAAGGUCUUCGGAUCGUAAACUUCUAUCCUUGGUGAAGAUAAUGACGGUAGCCGAGAAGGAAGCCCCGCCUAACUACGUGCCAGCAGCCGCGGUAAUACGUAGGGGGCAAGCGUUGUCCGGAAUGAUUGGGCGUAAAGGGCGCGUAGGCGGCCUGGUAAGUCUGGAAUGAAAGUCCUGCUUUUAAGGUGGAAAUUGCUUUGGAUACUGUCGGGCUUGAGUGCAGGGGAGAUAAGUGGAAUUGCCGGUGUAGCGGUGAAAUGCGUAGAGAUCGGGAGGAACACCAGUGGCGAAGGCGACUUACUGGACUGUAACUGACGCUGAGGCGCGAAAGUGUGGGGAGCAAACAGGAUUAGAAACCCGAGUAGUCC